rnacentral:lncRNA from 1 species
AAAGAUUAAGAGGAAGCAUAACUUGUUCUUGAUAGAUUAAAAAGGGUGAUUGCUAUAAAUUUUGAAUAAUUCUUGAUCACUCUCCAUUCUCGAUAUCAUAGAAUUUCAGUUCUAUUCACGUUUGUCAUUAAAAUCUGAAAUUCAACAAAAGAAAAGAAUGAUUAAAGAAGUAUGCAUCUUUUGAGGGGGAGCUUUAGAUAUUCAGUAUCUUAUCCUAAAGUUACUUCAAUUUGAUGUAUACCU